ACGACUGCUCCGCUUCCCUUCAUCUCCUUCUGCUCUGCCUCUCUGGGUGGCUGAUGGACGGGAUCAUGAGACUCGGGGUGACAGACUCUCGUGUCGCUUUGACACGUCUCUGACAAGAUGCCGAUGAGAACACGACGCUUCCAGGGAAAGGUGAGGACGGAGUUCACACCAGUGAUGAACCGACUGUUCACAUGGAACCAAAAGAACCGCACGAAGGGCGGAGAAGAUACGUCAUCAGGACUGUGACUGUUCUCCACCUCUUUCUCUCUGGUGAUG